GAUGAUUGUUCACUUUCCGUUUCCACUACUGGAACAAAAUAGCUGACACUCACAACUUAAAGGAGGUGAAGUUUAUUUUGGCUCACAGUUUCAGCCCAUACCUGACUGGCUCCAAGACCAAAACAGGAUGGCAAAGGAACAUGGCAGGGAAGAAGUACUCGACCCAAGGCAUCCAGAAAGCAGAGAGAGACAGGAGGAGCCAGGGAUAAGAAUGGACAAGAUCACUUUUACAGGUGAUUCCCCAUUGAUCCCCUCCAACCAGUUCUCACCUCCUAACAGCUCAGUGAGCUUUGAUUUCAUCAGUGAAGGCAUCUGUUGAUGAGUAUAGCACCACCAUGAUCCAAUCACCCUUCAAACACAUGAGGCUUUGAGGGACAUUUUUUAUAUAAACCGUAACAACUGCUAAGUGACUGACAGGUCCUUGCGCUUGUGAGGCAGGCGGCGGAACCGCUGAGCUAAAUCCCUGGGACUUGGAGUAGAACGUGUACCAUCACCCGCCAUAGCCAGACUCAGGCUAAGUGGGAUCCCACUGACUAUCCUGGGUCUCAACCUUAAAACGAACAGAUUGUGAGCAACUCCUCAGCCUCCAAGAUUGCAUGAGCCAGUGCCUCGUAAUGAGUCUCUCCGCAGAUCUGUGUGUAUCCUACUAGCUCUGCCUCCCUAGAGAAUCAGAGUACGCUACCUCUUGGCAAAAAAGUCACCCCCAGUGGUCCUUUCCUCCUUCCUUUCUAUGACAGCGAUGAUGGAAUUAAAAGUCUGAGUAACAACAUAUUCAUUUAUCCAUCUGUCCAGGCAAGAAAAAAACGGAAGAAAAAACUCCCAACUGUAAUCAGGGAAGAAAGAAUACAACGUCCACAAAAAGACCAUUUCAAGCCAGAAUCUAAGAAAUAAAAAUGCUGGGAUUCUGGAAUGAGGCACACCUGGGUCUUUAGCCAACCCCUGGGGUCCCCAGCAGCCACACCGAUGGGUAUAAGAGGAGCCUGCUGUCCUCCUCUUCUGACCCAAGGGGCGGUGACAGGAAAAUGAUGAGGCAGGAGGGUGCAUGGAGAGAGGUCCCCAGGGCUGACAGGGCCUAAGGGGAGCCAUCGCAUGCAUCCCCCUGAGUUGGGAAACAGGCUUACGGAGGAAGACAACGUGGUGUCAGCAGAGGAAGGGGGUGACAUGCUCCCCUCCGGUUGAGCGAGAGCAAGCAGAAUGUCUGGAGAGAGCUCCUCAAGCAGGCGUGAGAUGAAAAGAAGAGCUGAGCAGCUGUGCAAAACACAGCACAAAGAAAGGCAAGAAGAGGAGGGAGGAAGGCAGAGAUUCCCCAGAGACCAGAGAAGCAGGCGAUGUAUAAUGAAUCUAUUGACAUGCGCAACACGUGUAGUGCACCCGUAAGAAUUACGAUAGUCCAACAGGCUGAGUAGUGCAAACCUGAACAAUGCGAACAUUAUUUUUUUUUCAUAAGACUGACUAAACACAGUACCACAAACUGGGUGGCUUUGAACAACUGGAAUUAUCUCCUUUGUGGUUCUGGAGGCAGGAAGACUGAGAUCAAGGAGCUGACAGGGCUGGGUCCCCCUGAAGACUGGAAGGAGAGCUCUACUCUGCCUCCCAGACCGUGGCAGCUGCCGGCCAUGCUUAGCUCUCCUUGGCUUGUAGGUGCUGCACUUCGACCUCUGCUUCUGUCUUCUUGUGAUUUUCUUUCCUCUCAGUGUCUGCGUCCAAAUCUCCUGCUUUUUAUGAGAACAACAGUCACUAGUUUAGGGUCCAUCCUUUCAGAACUUGAUUACUUCUGCAAAGAUGCUUUUUCCAAAUAAGGUCACAUUCACAGGCAUCCAGAGAUCGGAACUUGAACAUGACUUUUCAGGGGACUCAGUUCAACCCACAAUAAGGACUUACAAGAAUUGGAGAGGAAGAGAAAGAGAGAUGGAGACAGUAUAAGAAUGCCAGUACCCUGGUCUUACUUUGGAAGGAGACAGGUGAAACUCUGAAAUUGAGAAUAUAGCAG
ensembl:lncRNA